rnacentral:tRNA from 1 species
CAUAAAACAGUUUAAGGAAUACUUAUUUUGGGGAUAAGAGGGAUGAUUAUGG